rnacentral:tRNA from 1 species
UGGGGGGUGGAGCAGAGGCAGCUCGCCAGGCUCAUAACCUGGAGGCCGUACGUUCGAAUCGUACCCCCCCAACCA